UACAGAGGUCUCAAGCGUUGUUCGGAUUCAUUGGGCGUAAAGGGUGCGUAGGCGGCGCGGUAAGUCGGGUGUGAAAUCUCGGAGCUUAACUCCGAAACUGCAUUCGAUACUGCCGUGCUUGAGGACUGGAGAGGAGACUGGAAUUUACGGUGUAGCGGUGAAAUGCGUAGAUAUCGUAAGGAAGACCAGUGGCGAAGGCGGGUCUCUGGACAGUUCCUGACGCUGAGGCACGAAGGCCAGGGGAGC
rnacentral:rRNA from 1 species